CGUCAGUCACCAGAGUCGUUAGAAUACAGAACACAUCAAGCCCACCUUCAGACCUACUGAAUGAGAACCUCAGUUUUUAGAAACAAGAAAAUAUGAUUAAAAGAAAAAACAAACAAAGCAAAAGAUCUAAAACCCUUGACCUAGUUCUCCUGUGGGCUUGAAAACACAGUGACAUUUCCUCAAGUAAGACGAAGAUGGAGUUACAAAUAAACUGGAACUAUGAAGCCUAGAAAACGAACUAUAAAGGCCGAUCUACAAAAGAUCUUUAGACUACAUGCAGAUUUUUACUCAAAAGAUGUUGCUGGCUUUGUCCUCUAGCUGUCAGCAGAAACACAUACAGCCCUGUACAAUGAUGGACGUGCCGCCGCAGAAGGAGAAAGAUAAAAGCCUUGCUUUGGGGACACCUGACUUGAAACGCUGAUGAGUAAGAGAACAACAAAAUCAUAAGCAAGAUUUAAAGAUGAUAUUAAAGAAAACACCCUGAGAAGGUAGUCAACAGAGUCCUCUACAAUAAUGGGUAAUGGGUUAUUUGAAUCAAUAGGAUUUAAAGAGACUCAAACGGAAAAACAAUGUUAUUUUAAAGUGCUCUUUUCUGGGCAUGAUAAUAGAAGACAUGGAAGAAGAAAAAUGGUUGUUCUGGUCACUUUUGCUCAAUAAUGACCCUGCUACCUUCCGUUAGAGUUGAGCACAAAGUUGGAAAAUUAGUUUCUCAAAGUAUGACUUGGUUUUACAUUAGAAAUCCAAAGUAAUAAGAGAUACCAAAACAAUCUAUCCAUUGCCUAUUCAAAGAUUCUACCUUUUCCAUAGGAAGGGACUGGCAAGAAAAGAUAUUUUAUUUUCAAUAUCAGUCAAUUUUGCCUGAUGUGUUAUUCCUUGGUUUUAUAAACAGCAUCAAUAGGAUAUCA
rnacentral:lncRNA from 10 species